rnacentral:rRNA from 1 species
CGCCGCGUGAGUGAUGAAGGCCUUCGGGUCGUAAAGCUCUGUGGAGAGGGACGAAAACCCUAGGUUUCAAAUAGGCUCCAGGCUUGACGGUACCUCUUUAGCAAGCACCGGCUAACUCUGUGCCAGCAGCCGCGGUAAUACAGAGGGUGCAAACGUUGCUCGGAUUUACUGGGCGUAAAGCGCGUGUAGGCGGGUUCGCAAGUCGGACGUGAAAUCCCUGGGCUCAACCCAGGAACUGCGUUCGAAACUGCGAAUCUAGAGUAGUGGAGAGGAAAGUAGAAUUCCCGGUGUAGAGGUGAAAUUCGUAGAUAUCGGGAGGAAUACCAGUGGCGAAGGCGGCUUUCUGGACACUUACUGACGCUGAGACGCGAAAGCGUGGGGAGCAAAACAGGAUUAGAUACCCUGGUAGUCCACGCUGUAAACGAUGUGUGCUAGGUGUCGCGGGAUUUGACUUCUGCGGUGCCGUAGCUAACGCGUUAAGCACACCGCCUGGGGAGUACGGCCGCAAGGCUAAAACUCAAAGGAAUUGACGGGGG